GGAUGAACGCUAGCGGGAGGCCUAACACAUGCAAGCCGAGCGGGAUUUGUUGGUUAGCUUGCUAACUAAUAAUGAGAGCGGCGUACGGGUGCGUAACACGUGUGCAACCUGCCUUUAUCUGGGGGAUAGCCUUUCGAAAGGAAGAUUAAUACCCCAUAAUAUAUUGAUUGGCAUCAGUUAAUAUUGAAAGCUCCGGCGGAUAGAGAUGGGCACGCGUAAGAUUAGCUAGUUGGUGAGGUAACGGCUCACCAAGGCUGCGAUCUUUAGGGGGCCUGAGAGGGUGAUCCCCCACACUGGUACUGAGACACGGACCAGACUCCUACGGGAGGCAGCAGUGAGGAAUAUUGGACAAUGGGUGAGAGCCUGAUCCAGCCAUCCCGCGUGAAGGACUAAGGACCUAUGGUUUGUAAACUUCUUUUAUACAGGGAUAAACCUACUCUCGUGAGGGUAGCUGAAGGUACUGUAUGAAUAAGCACCGGCUAACUCCGU
rnacentral:rRNA from 1 species